rnacentral:rRNA from 1 species
UACGUAGGGGGCAAGCGUUGUCCGGAUUUAUUUGGGCGUAAAGAGCGUGUAGGCGGCCAGGUAGGUCCGUUGUGAAACUGGAGGCUUAACCUCCAGCUGUCGAUGGAAACCAUCUGGCUAGAGUCCGGAAGAGGAGAGUGGAAUUCCUGGUGUAGCGGUGAAAUGCGCAGAUAUCAGGAAGAACACCCGUGGCGAAGGCGGCUCUCUGGGACGGUACUGACGCUGAGACGCGAAAGCGUGGGGAGCGAACAGG